rnacentral:rRNA from 1 species
GAUGAACGCUAGCGGCAGGCUUAAUACAUGCAAGUCGUGGGGCAGCAUGAGUAGCAAUACUUGAUGGCGACCGGCAAACGGGUGAGGAACACGUACACAACCUUCCUUCAAGCGGGGAAUAGCCCAGAGAAAUUUGGAUUAAUACCCCAUAAUAUAUUUGAUAAGGCAUCUUAUUAAUAUUAAAGCUUCGGCACUUGAUGAUGGGUGUGCGGCUGAUUAGAUAGUUGGCGGGUAACGGCCCACCAAGUCUACGAUCAGUAGCUGAUGUGAGAGCAUGAUCAGCCACACGGGCACUGAGACACGGGCCCGACUCCUACGGGAGGCAGCAGUAAGGAAUAUUGGACAAUGGACGAAAGUCUGAUCCAGCCAUGCCGCGUGAAGGAUUAAGGUCCUCUGGAUUGUAAACUUCUUUAUAUGGGACGAAAAAGGGCAUUCUUGUUCACUUGACGGUACCAUAUGAAUAAGCACCGGCUAACUCCGUGCCAG